UACGAAGGGGGCUAGCGUUGUUCGGAAUCACUGGGCGUAAAGCGCACGUAGGCGGAUUGUUAAGUCAGGGGUAAAAUCCUGGAGCUCAACUCCAGAACUGCCUUUGAUACUGGCGAUCUCGAGUCCGGGAGAGGUGAGUGGAACUGCGAGUGUAGAGGUGAAAUUCGUAGAUAUUCGCAAGAACACCAGUGGCGAAGGCGGCUCACUGGCCCGGUACUGACGCUGAGGUGCGAAAGCGUGGGGAGCAAACAGG
rnacentral:rRNA from 1 species